rnacentral:tRNA from 1 species
UCCUAUAUAGUCUUGCGGUUAGGAUUCCUGGUUUUCACCCAGGCGGCCCAGGUUGGAUUCCCGGUAUGGGAA